GCUCAGUGGUUAAGAGCACUGGCUGCUUUUCCAGAGGUCCUGAGUUCAAUUCUCAG
rnacentral:tRNA from 1 species